GAUGAAGAACGCAGCGAAAUGCGAUAAGUAGUGUGAAUUGCAGAAUUCAGUGAAUCAUCGAAUCUUUGAACGCACAUUGCGCCCUUUGGUAUUCCUUAGGGCAUGCCUGUUCGAGCGUCAUUUAAACCUUCAAGCUAAGCUUGGUGUUGGGUGACUGUCCGCCUCACGGCGGACUCGCCUCAAAAUUAUUGGCGGCCAGUACAUUGGCUUCGAGCGCAGCAGAAACGCGAACUCGGGCCCGUCGUAUUGGCUCCCAGAAGCUAUCUUCACAAUUUUGACCUCGGAUCAGGUAGGGAUACCCGCUGAACUUAAGCAUAUCAAUAAGCGGAGGA
rnacentral:misc_RNA from 1 species